rnacentral:rRNA from 1 species
AACGAACGCUGGCGGCGUGGAUAAGACAUGCAAGUCGAACGCGAAAGUUUCCUUCGGGAGGCGAGUAGAGUGGCGCACGGGUGAGUAACACGUAGGUAAUCUACCUUUGGGUGGGGAAUAACAGCCGGAAACGGCUGCUAAUACCGCAUAAUGCAGCGGCUCGACAUCGAGACAGUUGUUAAAGCGGGGGAUCGCAAGACCUCGCGCCUAAAGAGGAGCCUGCGGCGGAUUAGCUAGNGGUGAGGUAAUGGCUCACCAAGGCAUCGAUCCGUAGCCGGCCUGAGAGGGCGGUCGGCCACACUGACACUGACAUACGGGGUCAGACUCCUACGGGGAGGCAGCAAGUCGGGAAUUUUGGGCAAAUGGGGCGCAAAGCCUCGACCCACGCAACGCCGCGUGAAGGAUGAAAUA